AUGACUUUUGGUUCAGAGAAAGAAAAGCAGCGGCUGGAACUGUCCCUGGCCGGGCCUCUUUUUGUCCUGACCAGCAUUUGUGCCCAACACCCAUCAGGAUGUUCUGGCGUGGUCAAAACUCGGUGCACCACCUGCCGCGGGCAGUCAUCGCACUUGAUGACCGGCAACUGGGAGCCGACGAGUUGGGCUAGUGCUGAGCCCGACCGACGGCUAUGCGUGUCUUUGUCGGUGAGUCGUUGCCAGGUUUGUGCGGUUCGAUACUGGCCAAUCCAUGACAAAACAACUGGAUGCAUUAAACCCAACGAAGGCGGCGAUAGACGUAGGUCGAUCGAUUUAUGCGUCGGUGACAGCGAGAAAGAGAGGCUCAAAUCCGGGUGUGCGAGGACCUCGACGGGGCCUACGAAGCAUCGACAGUGGCGGGUGGUGGUCAGCGGAGGCAGGAAGGAUGAUGCUGGCGCCUGGCGUAGAUGCAGCGCAGAAGUGGGAACGAGGAUCUCCCAACUCGGAAGCAAUGGCCGCCGGUCAUGCCAAGCAGUGGACAAGCAUAGCACGAGGCCGCCGAUGCCGGUGAAUCCCCUCGAACGUGCUCCACAGGCACUCACCAUCUCAACUUCUCAAGUCCACAGGUACCGCGCCCCCUUCAUCUGUAUCUGCGAGUUGGAACUCAGGAUGCCGCCGUCGAGAUCUAGAAAGCGCACUUCGGCGCCGCCGGCCACGACUGCGCGCGCAAGGAGGUGCCGCCGGCCUGCGGCGGUGCCAUUGGACGAUGUCGCUGGCGCAGUGGCGCCCCCGUUUUCUUCCCCCCUCUGGGCGUCGCUCUCAGAGGAUUUGGUUUGCGAGAUAGCCUGGAGAGUGCUCUCGGGCGAUAUUCUGGACUACGUGCGCUUUCGCGCCGUUUGCACCAGCUGGCGGUCUGGCACCGUCUGCCCGCGGGGCCGCGGCGUCGCCGAUCCGCGCUUCUACCCGCGCCGCUGGAUGAUGCUGCCGGAGGGCCAUGGCCUCUACCCCGGCCACAGUGAACCUUUGUCCGACACCGGCAUCCGCCUCGUCCACCCGUUCACCGGCGACAUCGCCGAGCUCCCACCACUCGCCACCCUGCUCGCGCAGCUAAAGAACGACCCAUCGGUCCCUCAUGGUUCUGAUCCUUACUGGCGGUGGUCCUUAAUCAGAUACUGCGUCUGUGCUACCGUGUCCUGCAGUGCCGGAGCCAUCACCGUGAUGCUCGUGUUCCGUCAUCUGCGACGUGUUAGCCUUUGCUACCUCCGAGGACCAAGCAACCAAACGUAUCAACUAGUAUUACAGAUCGAUUACACAUGGAUUGCAGUGAACUGA
rnacentral:rRNA from 1 species